CGGGACUCUCACGAGGCCUCGUAAUCGGAAUGAGUACACUUUAAAUAUUUUAACGAGGAACAAUUGGAGGGCAAGUCUGGUGCCAGCAGCCGCGGUAAUUCCAGCUCCAAUAGCGUAUACUAAAUUUGUUGCGGUUAAAAAGCUCGUAGUUGCAUUUGUGCGCCACACUGUCUGGACCAUCGCAUCCGCGAUGGAUCUGACACGUUGUGGAGCAUAUCGUCGGUGAGCCGCCGGUAAAACGGCGGUUCAAUAUCAAAAUCCUAUCGCGGUGCUCUUCAGUGAGUGUCGAGGUGGGCCGGCAAUUUUACUUUGAACAAAUUAGAGUGCUCAAAGCGGGCUCAAAACGCUGCUUGAAUAUUUCGUGCAUGGAAUAAUAGAAUAUGAUCUCGGUUCUAUUUUGUUGGUUUUCAGAACUCCGAGGUAAUGAUUAAUAGGGAUAACUGGGGGCAUUCGUAUUGCGACGUUAGAGGUGAAAUUCUUGGAUCGUCGCAAGACGAACAUCAGCGAAAGCAUUUGCCAAAGGUGUUUUCAUCAAUCAAGAACGAAAGUUAGAGGUUCGAAGGCGAUUAGAUACCGCCCUAGUUCUAACCGUAAAUAUGUCAUCUAGCGAUCCGCCGACGUUAAUCAAAUGGCUCGGCGGGCAGCUUCCGGGAAACCAAAGAUUUUGGACUCCGGGGGGAGUAUGGUUGCAAAGCUGAAACUUAAAGGAA
rnacentral:rRNA from 1 species